rnacentral:rRNA from 1 species
UACGAAGGGGGCUAGCGUUGCUCGGAAUCACUGGGCGUAAAGGGUGCGUAGGCGGGUCUUUAAGUCAGGGGUGAAAUCCUGGAGCUCAACUCCAGAACUGCCCUUGAUACUGAGGAUCUUGAGUUCGGGAGAGGUGAGUGGAACUGCGAGUGUAGAGGUGAAAUUCGUAGAUAUUCGCAAGAACACCAGUGGCGAAGGCGGCUCACUGGCCCGAUACUGACGCUGAGGUGCGAAAGCGUGGGGAGCAAACAGG